ACUCCUACGGGAGGCAGCAGUAGGGAAUCUUCCACAAUGGGCGCAAGCCUGAUGGAGCAACACCGCGUGAGUGAAGAAGGGUUUCGGCUCGUAAAGCUCUGUUGUUAAAGAAGAACACGUAUGAGAGUAACUGUUCAUACGUUGACGGUAUUUAACCAGAAAGUCACGGCUAACUACGUGCCAGCAGCCGCGGUAAUACGUAGGUGGCAAGCGUUAUCCGGAUUUAUUGGGCGUAAAGAGAGUGCAGGCGGUUUUCUAAGUCUGAUGUGAAAGCCUUCGGGCUUAACCGGAGAAGUGCAUCGGAAACUGGAUAACUUGAGUGCAGAAGAGGGUAGUGGAACUCCAUGUGUAGCGGUGGAAUGCGUAGAUAUAUGGAAGAACACCAGUGGCGAAGGCGGCUACCUGGUCUGCAACUGACGCUGAGACUCGAAAGCAUGGGUAGCGAACAGGAUUAGAUACCCUGGUAGGAUAGCG
rnacentral:rRNA from 1 species